UGCAAGUCGAACGAACUCUGGUAUUGAUUGGUGCUUGCAUCAUGAUUUACAUUUGAGUGAGUGGCGAACUGGUGAGUAACACGUGGGAAACCUGCCCAGAAGCGGGGGAUAACACCUGGAAACAGAUGCUAAUACCGCAUAACAACUUGGACCGCAUGGUCCGAGUUUGAAAGAUGGCUUCGGCUAUCACUUUUGGAUGGUCCCGCGGCGUAUUAGCUAGAUGGUGGGGUAACGGCUCACCAUGGCAAUGAUACGUAGCCGACCUGAGAGGGUAAUCGGCCACAUUGGGACUGAGACACGGCCCAAACUCCUACGGGAGGCAGCAGUAGGGAAUCUUCCACAAUGGACGAAAGUCUGAUGGAGCAACGCCGCGUGAGUGAAGAAGGGUUUCGGCUCGUAAAACUCUGUUGUUAAAGAAGAACAUAUCUGAGAGUAACUGUUCAGGUAUUGACGGUAUUUAACCAGAAAGCCACGGCUAACUACGUGCCAGCAGCCGCGGUAAUACGUAGGUGGCAAGCGUUGUCCGGAUUUAUUGGGCGUAAAGCGAGCGCAGGCGGUUUUUUAAGUCUGAUGUGAAAGCCUUCGGCUCAACCGAAGAAGUGCAUCGGAAACUGGGAAACUUGAGUGCAGAAGAGGACAGUGGAACUCCAUGUGUAGCGGUGAAAUGCGUAGAUAUAUGGAAGAACACCAGUGGCGAAGGCGGCUGUCUGGUCUGUAACUGACGCUGAGGCUCGAAAGUAUGGGUAGCAAACAGGAUUAGAUACCCUGGUAGUCCAUACCGUAAACGAUGAAUGCUAAGUGUUGGAGGGUUUCCGCCCUUCAGUGCUGCAGCUAACGCAUUAAGCAUUCCGCCUGGGGAGUACGGCCGCAAGGCUGAAACUCAAAGGAAUUGACGGGGGCCCGCACAAGCGGUGGAGCAUGUGGUUUAAUUCGAAGCUACGCGAAGAACCUUACCAGGUCUUGACAUACUAUGCAAAUCUAAGAGAUUAGACGUUCCCUUCGGGGACAUGGAUACAGGUGGUGCAUGGUUGUCGUCAGCUCGUGUCGUGAGAUGUUGGGUUAAGUCCCGCAACGAGCGCAACCCUUAUUAUCAGUUGCCAGCAUUAAGUUGGGCACUCUGGUGAGACUGCCGGUGACAAACCGGAGGAAGGUGGGGAUGACGUCAAAUCAUCAUGCCCCUUAUGACCUGGGCUACACACGUGCUACAAUGGAUGGUACAACGAGUUGCGAACUCGCGAGAGUAAGCUAAUCUCUUAAAGCCAUUCUCAGUUCGGAUUGUAGGCUGCAACUCGCCUACAUGAAGUCGGAAUCGCUAGUAAUCGCGGAUCAGCAUGCCGCGGUGAAUACGUUCCCGGGCCUUGUACACACCGCCCGUCACACCAUGAGAGUUUGUAACACCCAAAGUCGGUGGGGUAACCUUU
rnacentral:rRNA from 2 species